GAUGAACGCUGGCGGCGUGCCUAAUACAUGCAAGUCGAGCGAAUGGAUUAAGAGCUUGCUCUUAUGAAGUUAGCGGCGGACGGGUGAGUAACACGUGGGUAACCUGCCCAUAAGUCUGGGAUAACUCCGGGAAACCGGGGCUAAUACCGGAUAACAUUUUGAACCGCAUGGUUCGAAAUUGAAAGGCGGCCUCGGCUGUCACUUAUGGAUGGACCCGCGUCGCAUUAGCUAGUUGGUGAGGUAACGGCUCACCAAGGCAACGAUGCGUAGCCGACCUGGUAGGGUGAUCGGCCACACUGGGACUGAGACACGGCCCAGACUCCUACGGGAGGCAGCAGUAGGGAAUCUUCCGCAAUGGACGAAAGUCUGACGGAGCAACGCCGCGUGAGUGAUGAAGGCUUUCGGGUCGUAAAACUCUGUUGUUAGGGAAGAACAAGUGCUAGUUGAAUAAGCUGGCACCUUGACGGUACCUAACCAGAAAGCCACGGCUAACUACGUGCCAGCAGCCGCCGUAA
rnacentral:rRNA from 1 species